CAAGUGUUGCUGAUAGGUGUUG
rnacentral:siRNA from 1 species